CGGGGCGUAGCGCAGUCUGGUAGCGCACCUGCUUCGGGAGCAGGGGGUCGGAGGUUCGAAUCCUCUCGCCCCGA
rnacentral:tRNA from 1 species